rnacentral:misc_RNA from 1 species
UCCAAGCGUAUUUUCUUCAGAGCUAUAGUCUCAUUGGUCACACGAUCACGAGCCUUGUACACUACUCCAUAUGUUCCUUCACCAAUCUUUUCAACUUUCUCAUACUGGUCCAUCCAGUCNNNNNNNNNNAUACAGCUGUAAAUUCUGGUCUCCAAGUCAAGGCAGCUGUAACCUUGCUUCUUAAUGCGCAGGAUUGACAUCUUCAGUGGUCCAGAAGUAAUCAAACGGAGAUCUUCGAACAAACUCAGCUUGCAUUCAACCUCCGGACUGUCAAGAAAUGGAGGAAGCAAGAAAGC